rnacentral:sRNA from 1 species
UGACUCGGGAACCCCAUGCAGUAUGUUA